rnacentral:rRNA from 1 species
CCAGACAGCCAGGAUGUUGGCUUAGAAGCAGCCAUCAUUUAAAGAAAGCGUAAUAGCUCACUGGUCGAGUCGGCCUGCGCGGAAGAUGUAACGGGGCUAAACCAUGCACCGAAGCUGCGGCAGCGACACUGUGUGUUGUUGGGUAGGGGAGCGUUCUGUAAGCCUGCGAAGGUGUGCUGUGAGGCAUGCUGGAGGUAUCAGAAGUGCGAAUGCUGACAUAAGUAACGAUAAAGCGGGUGAAAAGCCCGCUCGCCGGAAGAC